rnacentral:lncRNA from 1 species
GGGAGGAGCAGGGGUUGAUCCUGGGGGGAUCCCAGAUCCCGGAGGAUCCCGGGAAAAGCAGGGAUUGGUUCAGGGGGGGAUCCCAAAAACCCCAGAUCCCAGGAGGAUCAGGGGUUGAUCCAGGGCAGAUCCCAAAUCUGGGAGGAGCAGGGAUUGGUUCAGGGCGGAUCCCAGAUCCCGGGAGCAGCAGGGAUUGGUUCAGGGUGGAUCCCAGAUCCAGGGAGCAGCAGGGAUUGGUUCAGGGCGGAUCCCAGGAGGACCCUGGGCGGAUCCCAGAGGAUCCCGGGCAGAUCCCGGGUGGAUCAGAGGUUGGUUCAGGGCGGAUCCCAGGUCCAGGGAGCAGCAGGGAUUGGUUCAGGGUGGAUUCCGGCGGAUCCCGGGCGGAUCCCAGAGGAUCCCGGGUGGAUCAGGGGUUGUUUCAGGGCGGAUCCCAGAUCCAGGUGGAUCCCGGAGGAUCCCAGGAGGACCCCGGGAAGAUCCCAGAGGAUCCCGGGCGGAUCCCGGGUGGAUCAGGGGUUGUUUCAGGGCGGAUCCCAGAUCCGGGCAGAUCCCGGAGGAUCCCAGGAGGAUCCUGGGAGGAUCCAGGGAGCAGCAGGAAUUGGUUCAGGGUGGAUACAGGCGGAUCCCGGGCGGAUCCCGGAGGAUCCCGGGUGGAUCAGGGGUUGUUUCAGGGUGGAUCCCAGAUCCCAGGAGCAGCAGGGAUUGGUUCAGGGCGGAUCCCAGGAGAACCCCGGGCGGAUCCCAGAUGAUCCCGGGUGGAUCAGGGGUUGUUUCAGGGCGGAUCCCAGGUCCCGGUGGAUCCCAGAGGAUCCCGGGUGGAUCAGGGGUUGUUUCAGGGCGGAUCCCAGGUCCCGGUGGAUCCCAGAGGAUCCCGGGCGGAUCCCGGGUGGAUCCCGGGUGGAUCAGGGGUUGUUUCAGGGCGGAUCCCGGGUGGAUCCCAGAGGAUCCCGGGUGGAUCCCGGGUGGAUCAGGGGUUGUUUCAGGGUGGAUCCCAGAUCCCAGGCGGAUCCCGGAUCCCAGAGGAUCCCGG